rnacentral:tRNA from 1 species
GCAGUGGUGGUUCAGUGGCAAAAUUCUCACCUUCCAUGUGGUAGGCCCGGGUUCAAUUCCUGGCCAAUACA